GACUCCUUUGGCAAGUUACACUCUGGCAAAUACACCUUAAAUGUGUGGUUUAAUUGAGCCCAAUCCAAAUAUUCACAUACAAGUGCAGUUAGUAACCUUCCUGAAGGUGAAUUAUGGAGUUGUUUUGCCUGAUCAUUGCAGCUACCCAAUAGCGCAGGGGGCAAGGUUUCAUCCUUCUCAAUUACCCUAUCCUCAUCUUCAAUUGCCUCAAAAACGCUUGCUCUAAGUUCAGCUCGGAUCUUAGCGAGAACGCCUUUCUUCUCUAGG
rnacentral:misc_RNA from 1 species